AGCUGCACAUUACCUAUGCCAACCCAGCUUUUCCCUUAUCCCUCGAGCUCUUUCCCACUCCGCCACCUCCACCCUCCUGCUCACGUCGCGCAUUUCCAACGCUCAGCGGCCGCCCGCGCGGCUCCGCCUUCAGUUGCCUCAACGCCUCAACUGCUGCUGUUCUGCCAGCCUGGCUCCAAGACAGCGGAGCCAUGUUCCUUCUUGCGGUCCUUGUCACCGGAAUUGGCGGGCUGCACGCAGGCCCUGAUCCUCAUAAAACAUUUAUACAGACCACGGUUCCUGAGAAGGUUUCAUCAUCUGACUCAAAAGGAGAUCCAGACAAUAAUAUCAUUUCUAUCUUCAGUUUCUGUUGUUUAUUCUUAUGACAAAGAUGAUACCCAAGGUUCUAAGCCUUUGUUAGCUCAGAUGGAUUGCAAUUACCAUGGAUAUGUUGCAGGUUUUCCAAAUUCUCUUGUGUCUCUCAACACUUGUUCAGGACUCAGGGGAACAUUGCAGAUUAAAAACAUCUCAUAUGGAAUCGAACCAGUGGAGGCUAUAUCAGGAUUCGUGCACAUGAUUUAUAAGGAAAAAAAUGAUAACGCUAAUAUUCGUCUCUUAGGAGAAGAUGAAACUUAUAGCCGUAAUUCAGAGUUUCAAGUCAGAGAAGGUUCAAAAAGAACUGAAUCGUUUAAGUCAUUCCCUCGAUAUCUUGAAAUGUAUAUUGUUGUGGAUAAAAAUCUGUUUGAUUACAUGGGCUCUGAUAUAAAGGCUGUAACACAGAAGAUUAUUCAGAUAAUUGGCUUUGUUAACGCAAUGCUUACCCAAUUAAAAAUGACUGUUGUAAUAUCUUCCAUAGAAAUCUGGUCAAAUAAAAACAAAAUUUCUACUACAGGGACUCCUAAUAAUAUAUUAUCUAGAUUUUUAAACUGGAAAAGCACACAUCUCUUCCAACCUUAUCAUACUGCAUACUUAUUUGCCUACAAGAAACAGCCUAGUUUUAUAGGAGCCACAUUUCCUAGAAAGAUAUGUGACAAGAAUUAUGCUGCAGGAGUUGUCCUGUAUCCCGAGGGCUUGUCCUUGGAGUCGUACACUGUCAGUGUUGUGCAGUUGCUCGGCUUUAAUCUGGGGUUGAGUUAUGAUGAUGCUGACGGCUGCUAUUGUUCAGGAGAUAUUUGCACAAUGUCACCAGAUGCAGUGUACUCUGGGGGUGCAAAGGACUUUAGUACCUGUAGCUUGGAUGACUUUAAACAUUUUGCUUCACAUUCUGGCCUUAAGUGUCUUCAUAAUAUCCUUCCUGAUACACCAGUUUACAAACAGAGGAGGGUAUGUGGCAAUGGAGUCUUGGAAGCAGGUGAACAAUGUGACUGUGGCACUCUUGAGAAUUGUACUCAUAAAUCCUGCUGUGAUCCUAGAACGUGUUCGUUGAAAAAGGGUAAAGACUGUGGUUCUGGGGAAUGCUGCACAAGUGAUUGCAAGAUAAAACCAGCUAAUAUACGUUGUAGGAAACCAUUUGAUGCAGAUUGUGAUUUUCCUGAAUAUUGCAAUGGGAUUACCCCACACUGUGGGCCUGACACUUUUGCACGCAAUGGACAACCUUGUGAUUCAGGUCAGGCCUACUGUUAUGAAGGACGAUGUCGGAUGUUUAACAAACAAUGUAAAGAUUUAAUCGGAGGAGAUUCUAAAGGUGCUCCGUUUCAUUGUUUUGAUGAAGUAAAUACAAGAGGAGAUAGAUAUGGAAACUGUGGUCGAUUCUUUUGUCAUUUUCCUAAUCUUCUAUGUGGAAAAUUAGUUUGUGCCUGGCCCCACAAAACCUUCGUAACAAAAGCAAAUUUAUCUGUGGUGUAUACACAUGUACGAGACGCAACAUGUGUGUCUACAUUUCUAAACAGAGAGAAGCUACCUAGAGAGUCAAUCACAACAGUUGAAACACCUGAAGACAGAGAUGUAACAUUUGUAGAAGAUGGCACUGUGUGUGGUCCUGAGAUGUAUUGUAUCAACUAUACCUGUGUAGAGAUUGCGCCUCGUACCAAUUAUAGGUUAUGCGAUGCUUCUACACAUUGCAAUAACAGCGGAAUUUGUAACAAUUUUAACCACUGCCAUUGUAAAAAUGGAUUUGUCCCUCCUGAUUGCGAGUUAAUGAAAGGAGAAUUUGGAAGUAUCGAUGAUGGACACAAGAUUAAAACUGCUGGUAGAAGUUAUUUGGAGGAAAGAUCCAGUCUUUCAAAGCACCGAUUUCAACUCAUUUUCUACAUUUUUCUACCUGUGCUCAUCAUUACUGCUGUUAUUUCAAUAAAGCGGAAGAAAAUAAAAGAGCUAUGCUACAGAGGGGAAACUGAAAGUGACAGAUCUGUGUCAGAAGAAAGCAGCAGCAGCAGCAAGUCAUCCCCCAACGUGAGAAUCCCUAGAAAUCAAUGACAAAAAGUGGGUGAACCUAAUACGCAAAAUGUUUGAAGAGACACUUCACAUAAGAUAAUAUUGAAGAGGCUCAAAACGUGAAAAAUUGCUCAACAUCAUUACUCUUCAGAAAAAGGCAAAUUAAAAUAAAAGUGAGAGUUCUCUACACCCCUGUAAGAGUGGCUAAAAUCAAAAGUGACAACAUCAAGGGACGGUGAGCUUGUCAAGUAUGAGGACUCUCACACAUUGCAGGGACAAUUGACAAAAAGCUUCUGAAAUUUAUGUGAAAGGAAAAUAGAGUAACAGUCUCUAAGAACCUUGGCCUGGAGAGAGGAUAGUGCCAAAUAAAUCAUCAGAAACUGGCCUAUAUCAAGAAGGAAAAAACAUAAUUUCUCUGUUACCUCUGUUGUCACUGCUGAGGGUUAAAUUAUGAAAUAAUAAAUCAUCUGCACCUGAA